rnacentral:rRNA from 1 species
GUAGGUGGCAAGCGUUGUCCGGGAAUUAUUGGGCGUAAAGCGCGCGCAGGCGGUCGUUUAAGUCUGAUGUGAAAGCCACGGGCUCAACCGUGGAGGGUCAUUGGAAACUGGAGAACUUGAGUACAGAAGAGGAAAGCGGAAUUCCACGUGUAGCGGUGAAAUGCGUAGAGAUGUGGAGGAACACCAGUGGCGAAGGCGGCUUUCUGGUCUGUAACUGACGCUGAGGCGCGAAAGCGUGGGGAGCAAACAGGAUUAGAUACCCUGGUAGUCCACGCCGUAAACGAUGAGUGCUAAGUGUUAGGGGGGUUUCCGCCCCUUAGUGCUGCAGCUAACGCAUUAAGCACUCCGCCUGGGGAGUACGGCCGCAAAGGCUG